rnacentral:rRNA from 1 species
GGCGGCGUGCCUACACAUGCAAGUCGAACGAGAAAGUGGAGCAAUCCAUGAGUAUAGUGGCGACCGGGUGAGUAACACGUGACUAACCUACCUUCGAGUGGGGGAUAACCUCGGGAAACCGAGGCUAAUACCGCAUAACAUCGCAAGAUCAAAGCAGCAAUGCGCUGGAAGAGGGGGUCGCGGCUGAUUAGCUAGUUGGCGGGGUAACGGCCCACCAAGGCGAAGAUCGGUAUCCGGCCUGAGAGGGCGCACGGACACACUGGAACUGAAACACGGUCCAGACUCCUACGGGAGGCAGCAGUGGGGAAUUUUGCGCAAUGGGGGAAACCCUGACGCAGCAACGCCGCGUGGAGGAUGAAGCCCCUUGGGGCGUAAACUCCUUUCGACCAAGACGAUAAUGACGGUACUGGUGGAAGAAGCACCGGCUAACUCUGUGCCAGCAGCCGCGGUAAUACAGAGGGUGCGAGCGUUGUUCGGAAUUAUUGGGCGUAUAGGGCGCGUAGGCGGUGCCACAAGUCAUCUGUGAAAUCCCCGGGCUUAACUCGGGGCCUGCAGGCGAAACUGUGGUGCUG